rnacentral:rRNA from 1 species
GCAAGUCGAGCGGUAGCACAGAGAAGCUUGCUUCUUGGGUGACGAGCGGCGGACGGGUGAGUAACGCGUGGGAAUCUACCUGGUAGUGGGGGACAACAGUCGGAAACGACUGCUAAUACCGCAUACGCCCUUCGGGGGAAAGUGGGGGAUCUUCGGACCUCACGCUAUCAGAUGAGCCCGCGUCGGAUUAGCUUGUUGGUGAGGUAAAGGCUCACCAAGGCGAUGAUCCGUAGCUGGUCUGAGAGGAUGACCAGCCACACUGGGACUGAGACACGGCCCAGACUCCUACGGGAGGCAGCAGUGGGGAAUAUUGGACAAUGGGGGCAACCCUGAUCCAGCCAUGCCGCGUGUGUGAAGAAGGCCUUCGGGUUGUAAAGCACUUUCAGCUGUGAGGAAAGGCGAGUGGUUAAUACCCGCUUGCUGUGACGUUAACAGCAGAAGAAGGACCGGCUAACUCCGUGCCAGCAGCCGCGGUAAUACGGAGGGUCCGAGCGUUAAUCGGAAUUACUGGGCGUAAAGCGCGCGUAGGUGGUUCAGUCAGUCAGAUGUGAAAGCCCCGGGCUCAACCUGGGAACUGCACCUGAUACUGCUGAGCUAGGGUACGGUAGAGGGUAGUGGAAUUUCCGGUGUAGCGGUGAAAUGCGUAGAGAUCGGAAGGAACACCAGUGGCGAAGGCGACUACCUGGACCGAUACUGACACUGAGGUGCGAAAGCGUGGGUAGCAAACAGGAUUAGAUACCCUGGUAGUCCACGCCGUAAACGAUGUCAACUAGCCGUUGGGAUGCUUGGCAUUUCGGUGGCGAAGUUAACGCAUUAAGCGCACCGCCUGGGGAGUACGGGCCGCAAGGUUACAACUCAAUGAAUUGACGGAA